CAGUAGCCACGGGAAUACGAAGGGUGCAAGCGUUACUCGGAAUUAUUGGGCGUAAAGGGUGCGUAGGCGGUUUGACAAGUCAUCUGUGAAAUCUAUGGGCUCAACCCAUAGUCUGCAGGCGAAACUGUCGGGCUUGAGUAUUGGAGAGGUGAGUGGAAUUUCCGGUGUAGCGGUGAAAUGCGUAGAUAUCGGAAGGAACACCUGUGGCGAAGGCGACUCUCUGGGCAAUUCCUGACACUGAGGCACGGAGGCUAGGGGAGCAAACGGGAUUAGAUACCCCUGUAGUCCCUGUCUCUUAUAC
rnacentral:rRNA from 1 species